CCUACGGGAGGCAGCAGUAGGGAAUCUUCCACAAUGGGCGAAAGCCUGAUGGAGCAACGCCGCGUGGGUGAAGAAGGUCUUCGGAUCGUAAAACCCUGUUGUUAGCGAAGAAAGUGCGUGAGAGUAACUGUUCACGUUUCGACGGUAUCUAACCAGAAAGCCACGGCUAACUACGUGCCAGCAGCCGCGGUAAUACGUAGGUGGCAAGCGUUAUCCGGAUUUAUUGGGCGUAAAGGGAACGCAGGCGGUCUUUUAAGUCUGAUGUGAAAGCCUUCGGCUUAACCGGAGUAGUGCAUUGGAAACUGGGAGACGUGAGUGCAGAAGAGGAGAGUGGAACUCCAUGGGUAGCGGUGAAAUGCGUAGGUAGAUGGAAGAACACCAGUGGCGAAAGCGGCUCUCUGGUCUGUAACUGACGCUGAGGUUCGAAAGCGUGGGUAGCAAACAGGAUUAGAUACCCGAGUAGUC
rnacentral:rRNA from 1 species